CACUUUCUCCAGAUCAGCCCAUUCCUUUUGCCGGCCAUCUUCUACACCUUUAACAUCUCAACAUGCAACUUACUUUUAUUUAACCAAAAUCAGCAGCCAACAUUCCUCCCAUUCCUCCUUAGUUCUUCAAUAGCCAAAGAAGAGAUUGACUUCAUUCAAAGCUCUUACAGUAAACCUCAAGAGGUAAAACUUGCUUUAAUACUCCAUUAAUUUUCAGUUUCUAACAUUCUGAUCCAAGCUAUACGUUCUUAUGCUUGAAUUAUAAUUCACAGAUUCCAGCUAGACACCAAAUACCAGCUACAUCGAGGUUACUCCAAAUUUCUCUUUAUAUUUUUUUCUAGUUAUUUCUGAAUCAAGCAUCAAAGAACAACAGAAUACACACGCACACAUUUUAUUAUAUUAUCUAAUCUAUUACAUGUACAAUUAGUUUUAAUAAAAAGAAAUGAAUGAUGAAAGAACAGAUUUUUAAAACCCUAACUUUGCUACUUGUAAAUUCUGGACUGAAAUUUGGAGAGUUCCUUGUGUUUUGCUUGCGUGAGUGUUGUUCGAAUCGUGAGAGGGGAAAGAGGGAGCAAUAGGCGGCUGCUCGGCGCCGGCAACGGCGGCGCGGCGGCAACUGCCGCCCAGUCCCUGUUCUGCCAAAACAA
rnacentral:lncRNA from 1 species